rnacentral:rRNA from 1 species
GCUUAGAGUUUGAUCCUGGCUCAGGAUGAACGCUGGCGGCGUGCCUAACACAUGCAAGUCGAGGGAGAAGCUACCUUCGGGUAGUGGAAACCGGAGCACGGGUGAGUAACACGUACCUAUCUGCCCCAUAGAGAGGGAUAACAGUUGGAAACAGCUGCUAAUACCUCAUACCCUCGUAAGAGGAAAGCUCCGGCGCUUUGGGAUGAGGCUGCGGACCAUCAGCUAGAUGGUGGGGUAAAGGCCUACCAUGGCAACGACGGUUAGGGGACCUGAGAGGGUGACCCCCCACACUGGGACUGAGACACGCCCCAGACUCCUACGGGAGGCAGCAGUGAGGAAUAUUGCACAAUGGGCGCAAGCCUGAUGCAGCGACGCCGCGUGGGUGAUGAAGGUUUUCGGAUCGUAAAGCCCUUUUCUGCGUGACGAGAGUGGACGGUAGCGCAGGAAUAAGUCUCGGCUAACUACGUGCCAGCAGCCGCGGUAAAACGUAGGAGGCAAGCGUUAUCCGGAGUUACUGGCCGUAAAGCGCGUGCAGGUGGGUUAUUAAGUCACUUAUAACAGCUCUCGGCUAAUCUGUUAGAGGCUGAGUGACACUGGUAGCCUAGAGUAGAGGAGAGGUAGACGGAAUUCCGC